AGCAAAAACACACCUUUCUCUUCCUAAAAGAUAAGACCACCACAAAAUAGAAAAUUAAACCAAAACAGACUGCAAAUUAAAAUACGAAACCCUAGUGUCAUGAUCAGAUGCUCUCGGGUAUAUAAUAAUAGGCGGAGCCAUGAUCAGUACCACCAACGGCAUGAUUUCGACGUCAUCGGCAUCGGGGAACACGCAGUCACCGGGCCUAAAAACCUAUUUCAAAACGCCGGAGGGGCGUUAUAAGCUCCACUACGAGAAGACACACCCUUCUGGUCUGCUUCAUUUUGCCCAUGGCAAAACCGUUACUCAGGUAACUCUCGCUAAUCUCAAGGACAGGCCAGCCCCAUCAACCCCUACAGCCCCAUCGUCAAGCUUCAGUGCUAGCAGUGGGGUACGAUCCGCUGCAGCCAGGUUGUUGGGGGCUAGUAACGGAAGCCGUGCACUAAGUUUUGUUGGAGGGAAUGGUGGGAGUAAAAGUNGUUAGUGGCAGUAGUAGGAUUGGGUCAUUGGGUUCUUCAAGUUCAAGUAAUUCAAUGAUCAAUCCUAAUUUUGAUGGAAAAGGGACUUACUUGGUCUUCAAUGUGGGGGACGUGAUCUUUAUAAGUGAUUUAAACUCUCAAGAUAAGGAUCCCAUAAAAUCAAUACAUUUUAGUAAUUCAAACCCCGUUUGCCAUGCCUUUGAUCAAGAUGCUAAGGAUGGACAUGAUUUGCUUAUUGGGUUGAGUUCUGGUGAUGUCUACUCAGUGUCACUGAGACAGCAAUUACAGGAUGUUGGAAAGAAGCUUGUUGGGGCCCA
rnacentral:misc_RNA from 1 species